AACAGUGCUGUGAAGAGUGGCUCAUGGUAGUGAACAGCCCUCGACACGCUGGACGGGCAUUUUCUUCAGAAAACGCUGACUGUGCAGCAAGACAGCUUGCGCCAGCAUCUCCUCAAACCUUGGAUUUUGCCAGGAAGCCGUAAGAAUGAAUGAUGCACCGUUGACAAACCCAUGCCAAAUUGCAAGAAAGCCCCGGGUCUUCUGAGCCACAGCCCUGGCCGAGGACGCGGCGUGUCUCUGGGAGGGCAGCAAAAAAAGUCUACAAAUCAAACGGGGGAGACGUGAGAAGAGAGGGGGGCUGGAUUAAGAACGGGGCGUCGGUGGGCGCCGCUCUGUCUGUCCCAGGGUCCUGGAAGCAAACUCACCUGGACAGCUGGACCCUCCUAAAUCCCGUCUCUCCUUCCCCUUCCUCCUCCCCCCCCCAACCCCUUCUCGCCUGUCCGCCCAUCUGUGGAUUAUUAGGAUUAAUACCUGCGCCGGGAGUACUUCUGACGAGUGCGCUGGAGGAUCGUUUUAGGGUAUUUACGGCUCUUUCUUCGGGCUAAACUCGAGGCUCUCAGAUUUCCUGAAACCAAUAUUUUAUUUAUUUAUUUAUUUUUAUUUAUUUUAUUUAUAUCCCACCUAUCUGGUCGUGUCAGGACCACUCUAGGCGGCUAACAACAUUAAAAAAUAAUACAAUAAAUAUACGUAUAAAGACA
rnacentral:lncRNA from 1 species